UGUGAGCAUAGGAAUCUCCCAUUC
rnacentral:piRNA from 1 species